rnacentral:rRNA from 1 species
GAUGAAGCCGCUUCGGUGGUGGAUUAGUGGCGAACGGGUGAGUAACACGUGGGCAAUCUGCCCUGCACUCUGGGACAAGCCCUGGAAACGGGGUCUAAUACCGGAUAUGACACACGGAGGCAUCUCCUGUGUGUGGAAAGCGUUAGUGGUGCAGGAUGAGCCCGCGGCCUAUCAGCUUGUUGGUGGGGUGAUGGCCUACCAAGGCGACGACGGGUAGCCGGCCUGAGAGGGCGACCGGCCACACUGGGACUGAGACACGGCCCAGACUCCUACGGGAGGCAGCAGUGGGGAAUAUUGCACAAUGGGCGGAAGCCUGAUGCAGCGACGCCGCGUGAGGGAUGACGGCCUUCGGGUUGUAAACCUCUUUCAGCAGGGAAGAAGCUUUUAUCGGUGACGGUACCUGCAGAAGAAGCACCGGCUAACUACGUGCCAGCAGCCGCGGUAAUACGUAGGGUGCGAGCGUUGUCCGGAAUUAUUGGGCGUAAAGAGCUCGUAGGCGGCGUGUCACGUCGGAUGUGAAAGCCCGGGGCUUAACCCCGGGUCUGCAUUCGAUACGGGCUCGCUAGAGUUCGGUAGGGGAGAUCGGAAUUCCUGGUGUAGCGGUGAAAUGCGCAGAUAUCA